AGGAUCGACGAGGGUGUAAAGGAUCUUCUUUUGCUCGGCAUGGUUCCGCCGUUAUCGGGCCGUUUGAUAGUUGCAAAUGACAACUACGCUGAGGCACGUCUAGCUGCGUAAGCGGUUCGACUGUUUCGAAUCUAGUCCUGUAAGUUAGCGCUUGGAGGCGGGGUUCGGAGGCACCUGGCAACAGAAGCCUCCA
rnacentral:sRNA from 1 species